rnacentral:lncRNA from 1 species
CAGACAGAGUGCACUGUGCAUCUUUGUUAACCAAGGGGCCAUAGAGCCCGGCAAACAGCUUCUCCCUGCAGGGCCUGUGAGCGGGUGCUGGGCAGGGUCAGCGGAAGACGUUUAUUUAGGGGUUCUAAGCCUGGAAAAGAAUAAGCUGCCCCCCAUUAACUAUGUACAAAAUAAAAUAAAGCUAAUCCUAAAUCACAAAAUAAGAGUAAGAAAGUCCUACACCGGUCUGAGUUUUUCCAUUAUGACUCUACAAUGAUUUUUAAAAAUGGAUCGUUUUCCCAAAACUUCUCAUUUAGGGUGUGCCUUGCUUUGCGGGUGCCAAAGUACAGACAAGGCCUGGCCUAUCCAGCCCUAGCUUGGUGACUUGGCAGCUGUGUCCGUUCAGAUCAGCCACUGAGUUUCUCUGAGCCUCAGCUUCGUUAUCUGAAUGAAUGGACUCUAGCAGUUAUGUUGCGGGGCUAGGCGUGAGGGGAAAUGAAAUGAAUAAUGCAAAGGCCUAGUGCGGGGGAUCUUGCACACAGUGGGCACUCAGGCAGUACUGGGCAGGUCCUUAGCAUUCGGCAACUCUAGCCAGAACCAGGCAGUGGCUGUGAAGGAGCAGGAAGGAAGCCAGAUGCGCUAGAGGGGGUGGGGCAGCAGCGCGGGGCCUGGGAGCCAGGGUCUUUCCAACACCUGACCCAGCCUGAUGGCGCAGACUUAAUUCUUGGCCUAAGAUGGGCCUUGGGUCCCUGGCCCUCUCUCCUCUGGGCCACACGGAGAGGAUUAGUCAGGAAGUGUGCACAAUGGGCUUAUUGUUAUUAGAGUAAUAGCUUUGGAACUGGAGACUGCAGGGGUGGGGCGGGAGAGUGGUGUGUUUCUUGCUAUUUUAGGGAAGCUUUUUUCUGAGGGAGGCGGGUUCAGAGGUGUGCUUUGAGGGGGGGUGUCUCCCAAAGGCAAGCCCUCCUCAACCCGCCCCUCCCCGCUCCCCCAACCCACACCCAGCACAGCCCCCUCACCUUCCCUCAGACUUCCCUGCCUUUGUCUGUUAGAGAACCGCCGCCAGCUGUCAGGGCCACUCUGUCUGCAACUACUCAGUACAGGAAGGGCCUGGAAAUUUCGGUCCCCCAGGAACUGGCAGUGCAGAGGUACCAAUACCCCAGAUUUCUUUGCCCCCCCCCAUUGGGACAACUCUGAGGUGUUUCCAGAAGUUUCCCAUGGGGUUAAGCUGAAGCCACCCUCUGUGUGGCUUCCCUUGAAUCCCCAGUCCUGCCUGGCUUCCUUUUCUUUGCUUCCCUGUCUCCUCCCUACUCCUCUGCUGCACUUGUCUCCUUUGAAAACUUCCUGACAAACCACUUUCACAGAAUCCUUCAUUCGGUGGGUGUCAGGGGAUGGAACACAGGACCAGGCACAGUGGACACAGGAGUCUGUCUGGGAGAGGUCUGUCCUUGGACUGGCUUCUGGGAGCUGGACGUGAUAUGUGUGCCCCUCGGGCCCCAGUCCUUACAGAGGGGCAGGAGGCAGGAGGAGGAGAGUCCCGUCUCGUCUCUAGCCCUGGUGUGGAUGGAGUGCUGACAGCUUUCUGCUGGCACAGUGCGGGCACCGAAUAUAUGCCCAUGGGGGCCAAGGCUGGGACUUCAGAUCACUUCCUUCUUCUGCAGAGCACUUCUGCAAGAGUCUAGGAGCCACUGCCUCUGGCCAGGAGCAGGUCCCGCCCAUUCUGCAGGUGUGAGACUGGCCACAGGGAGGCCAGCGGGCAGGGGGAACUCCCAGUGGCUCUUCUCAAAUCCUUGGCUCUCUUCCCAGAACCCCCACUUUGCUGGGAAGAGAAGAAUAAACUGCGUUCUAGGUGCUCAGCAACAAAGUGGCUGAGUGGCAGGAAUGAAUAACACGAACAGGGGGUCAAGAGGGCAGGCGCAUGCAUGGAGCCUGACCUCCAGCACAGACAAUAAAUACUGCCCCUUCCUCCAUCAGAGACCACCCACAGGCCUAAGGGAGGGAGCCUGCAGCCAGCGAGGGUGGAUGCAGGGCAGUGCAGUGGUUAGGGGGUGCCGGUUAAAGACACCCUGAACCAAGGCGAGACCUUCUGUGUUCUCAAAACUUCACCAGCCCUCCCCAGAGAAGGCUGGCCAGGAUGGGGUCGUGGGUGGGUAGGGUGUACUAGAUAAAAUACAAGAUACCCAGUCAAAUUUGAAUCUCAAAGAAACAGCAAAUCAUUCUUAGUAUAAGCUUGUCCUCAGCAUUUCAUAGGAUGUACUCAUAUUAAAAAAGUAUUCCUUGUUUAUCAGAAGUUUAACUUCAACUGAAUGUCCUGUACGCAUUAAGUAAUAUUUUUCCUCUGAACCUAGCAACCCUAGUGGGGAAGAAAAUGGUUGAAGAAACAGGAUGUUUAUCCUGGCUGCCGACAGCUCUGGGGGACAGGUGCAUUGACUUUCAAUUUCUGAAGGGCUGUCCUGGGAGAGAGUUAGAAUCAGAAGACAGAAACAAUUGCAUUUUGAAAUAGCAGCUGUAUGGUCUGCUGUAUGGUCUGUUCUAGAAGGGCAGGCGGCAGAAAGAAGAUAUGGUGCUGGUUGCAGGUAUGGCCCAGCCACCUAUCUACUUCCAUGCAACCCCAAGCAAGCUUGGCCUCUGAGCCUUGGUCUACCCGUCUGUUCUCCAUGGACAUGCCCUUUGACCCCACAGGCCCUGCAGACCAUGCCAGCCUGUUUUUUUUGUUUGUUCGUUUGGGGCCAUGCCCAAAGCCUGUGGAAGGGACCAAAACUUUGUCACCACAGCCACCCAAACCUGCUGUAGUGACAACGCCAGUUCCUUACCCUGCUGUGCCACAAGGGAACUCCACCCUAGCCUGGUUUACGUCCUUUUUCCCCUCACCUUUCUCCAGCAUGAGUGCCCUGAGUUUCUGGAACAUGGUCUGAUGAAGAUGCAGAAGCCACUGUGUUUCUCUGGUUCUCCCACCUGUGGACAUGGGAGCAGAGAGGGCGAAGCAGGACCCUGAGACCAUGAAGACCAACUACAGACACUUGCCCAAGGGGCUCACCAUGCUGCCCAGAGGUGGGCUUGCAAGGCUCCUGCUCAGUUUAGCCACAUUUGACAACUGGGCCACCCUAAGCCCCUGUCUGGAGGAGAGAUGCUUCUGAGUAGCCACUGGCUUCAGAAUCCAACCCCAGCAGAGGUUGGGGCCCUUCACCUUGGUCCUGGAAAGCUCUGCCAGCUUAGCCUUGUUGAAGAGGGCAAGCUCCAGAGUAGAAAUCCCAAUUCAAGCCAUGCUGGCUGGAAUCUGUAGCCUACUGGAGCCCAGGUCCAGGGUUAGAAGGGCAUUUGUGGGCCAUUCACACCACCCCCCUCUGCACAGGGGGAGAUGAAGGCCCUGCAAGAGGAAGGCAUUGGUCCAAAGCCAGUCCAGGACUCCAUGGCCAAGCAGGGCUCAGCCAUCUGCCACACAUGACCGCACACCUCAGACGCAACACACAUACUCUGUGCCAGGCACCCCCUGAACACAUAAACCCUCAAUCACCCAGCAGAGAUGUCCCAGCCCCUGUUGCUUCAUGGUCCCCAUGUACACACAAAGCAAAGGAGGCUCACAGAACUGCAGACACUUGCCUCAAGCUGGUGAGUGGCAGGGUUAGCAUUUGACCCCAAGUCCCCACCUGCAAAUAUGCUGCUCCCUCGGUCUUCUCUGUUUGGCUGUUCACUGAGCUCAUCGCCCUUCCAUGGCUGCACCUCUCUGCAGGCCCACCUUCCACCCCAGGACUCUGGCGUCUGCACAGCUCUCUAUAGUUUACAAAGCCUGUCCCAGAAUAUCAUGUCAUGUUGGUUUUCCCAGCUGGGGCUCUAGACCCAGUGGAGAGCACCUGUGCCUCUCGGGCAAUUACUGUUGAGAGGCCAGAAGGCGCACCCGUGUGCAAGGACUCCCUUCUAAAAUGUCAGGCUGUUCCAGCAAACAGAAACAGGGUGUGAGCCAGCUCAGCUGCGGUGAGGACAAUCCCAGGAGUUACGGCCUCCCAGGCUGCAGCUCGGCGCCCUCUCCUUGCACGCAUCACCCCACGUCUCGGCACCUGCAUGGAGAACAGAAGAGCACCUGCUCAUUAGCCACCCUGGAAGCUGUAGACCAGAACCUGGCUUCCUCAUGCCUUCCAACCUCAGGUCCCCAUUAGGCCAGGCAUGCGGUCCCUUGAUUCCCCCUUGUUCCCAAAGUCUCCCCACCUCUGCAGAAAUCUACCUGUGCCGGCUCCCAAAGGGCCCUGACUGAGGACUCCUGACCAGCGGGGCAGGGCUUAGUUUCUCUUUAGUGAGUCUUUCCCUAUCGAGCUUUCUCUACGUGUCCAGGGAGCCGUGUGCCCAGAGCAGAGGGGAUUUCUGCAAAGUCCUGGCCCAAUACAGAGUGCACUGGACUUUAAGUCAAAAGACCUAAAUGGAAGACUCGGCUCUGCUGCUCGUGCGUUUGGCAGGGCUGCCGCGUACAGCUGCCCGGGUUGUAUACUGCCUGGCUCUUCCAAGUGGGGUCCAGAGACCAGGCAGCCGCCUUAUCACCAGGGAGCUUGUUAGAGAUACAGAAUCUUGGGGUGCACCUCAGAGUGACUGAUUCAAAAUCUGUUUUAACAAGAUCCCCAGGUGAUUCCAACAUUAAAGUCUGAGAAUCACAGAUGUAUAACGAUUCGGGGGAGCACCACUCACACAGCCUGUGUUGUGAGUGACACCCCUGGAGUCGUGUGACAGGCUGGCCGUGCUCGGGCAAAUCCUCAUUUCCUGGCCUGCCAAAUGGAGAUAAUAAGGCCUCUCCUUCAGAGUUGCUGUGCUGCUGGAAUGAAAAGGAGCCUGAGAGGCUGUUGCCCAGGGUGGGGGGCUCAGGUGGGCAUCGCUGCCUCUCCUGGGAGGUGAGCUUCAGAAUUCUCACCACGCUGAGGGCUUUUAGGAAAAACAGGAUCCUUACAUUGAGGAGGAGCUAGAAUGGAUUUGAGGGAACCCUCUGCUCAAGCAGAUAUCCAGUUUUCACUCAGCAAUGGGACAGAUGACGAAACCGAGGCCAGAGAGGCGAAAUAGCAGAGCUGAUGGUCAGUGGCUGAGCUGGGGUUGGAACCUGGGGCCCUUUGUACCUCACUUUCCCAGAAGUCUGGGCAGUCUCCUCAAGCCGCUCUGUCUAUACAUAUACAUAUCUGUCUAUACCCAUCCUCAGCACCUCGUGGAGAUAUACUAGAGGGAACUGGAUAAAAUUUGCAUCUUUUGCAGAGCGAAUACCUGGAGUUCCUGUUGUGGCACAGCGGAAACAAAUCAAACUAGUACCCAUGAGGACAUGGGUUCGAUCCCCAGCCUUGUUCAAUGGGUCAGGAUCUGGCAUUGCCAUGAGCUGUGGUGUAGGUCACAGAUGUGGCUCGGAUCUGGCAUUGUUGUGGCUGUGGUGUAGGCCGGCAGCUGCAGCUCCAAUUAGACUCCUAGCCUGGGAACUUCCAUAUGCC